rnacentral:lncRNA from 1 species
GCGUCUGUCCAUUUAGUCCCAAAAGGACAGACCGCACGGCCCAAUGCGCGACCCCAUCAUUACUUUUUGUCUAUUUCACGUCUGGUCCGCUUCAUUUCCUGCUCAAACAUCCACCGGCUUUGCGUCCACACGGACGACGAACGGACGCCGACGCGCUCGCUCAGCGUUCGCUUCGAGCCCGCGUGGCAGCUGCGCACCUACCAUCCACCACACACAUUUACCGCGCACAUGCGGGCAGUCCUACUUGGCAGCCAUCCCGGUCGAGCAGUCGUCGUCCUUUUUAAUGUGAAGGUCGUGGACCGAUGGAGUCCACACUUCCACUUCCCCGGUGAUGCGUGCCUCCUCGUAGCCCGACAGCCAAACCCUAGCCCACCGCUCCUCUACCUCCCCACCAGCGACAAUGGUGGGCCGCUGGUUUCCCGGCCGCAAGACGAGGCACGACCACAAGGCCAGGUCCUUGUCUGGCGGCGUCGCCGCUUCCCCACUCCACCUCCGGCCUGGCAGGGGCCGCCAUCCCACCUCUGGCAGCCACCUUCAUACGUCAACCUCACCGGCGACGACGAUGAUGAGUAGACGGCGGCUACGGAAGGCGACGAAAGCCCUUAUCUAGUUUCUUUUUACAUGUUUUUGUUUAUAUUAAUGUGCGGAACUUGGAUAAUGGGACGUUUUAAUGUUUAUAUUAAUGUUUUCGAGUUGUUUUCAAUGUUUAUUUGGUUUUUUGGGGUUUUAAAUUCACGUCAUAAAAACGGUCAGUUUGGGGUGCGGUCGGCCCGUUGGGCUCACCGCAGGCCCUUAUUUUUUUUAAUGUUUUUGUUUAUAUUAAUGUGCUGAAGUUGGGUAAUGUGGACGUUUUAAUGUUUUCGAGUUAUUUUUGAUGUUUAUUUGGGUUUUUUGGGGGUUUAAAUUCACGUAUGAAAAAACGGAUAGUUUGGGGUGCGGUCGGCCCAUUGGGCGCACCGCAGGCCCUUAUCUAGUUUGUUUUUAAUAUUUUUGUUUAUAUUAAUGUGCUGAAUUUGGGUAAUGCGGACGUUUUAAUGUUUUUGAGUUAUUUUCAAUGUAUAUUUGGGUUUUGGGGGUUUAAAUUCACGUAUAAAAAACGGAUAGUUUAGGGUGCGGUCGGCUCGUUGGGCGCACCGACGACCGCUCAACCGCAAGUGGACGACGAUGUCCGUUUUCCUGCCAAAACGGACGAAAAACGAACGAAACGGACGUCCGUUUGGGUCGUGCGUUGGAGUUGGCCUCACUCAGCAAACACAUAUCACUUUCUGCAUUUAUUUCCUCCUCUCCGUAUAGCCUGCUCUUCCCGUACCUGAUGCCGGAUCCAAGCACCCACGAGCACAGGUUGUAGAAAUCGUGCAGCAUCCUCUGAAUGUUCUGCCAGUGCAGGGGGUUCGAUCUGGGGGUGCUCUGCCACUCGGAAUCUGCACUCACAGCAGUUCAAUGUAUGUUCAGAAAAUUGACGUUAGCUGCAUCAGAAAUUCAGAAAGUACGAGCCGCAGCUUCCUUCGCACACGCGUCCACCGAGCAGCUGUCAUCCGUCGGGGCCCCUGUUUCUUCAUCGCCACCAUUCCCGCGCACACGGCCGCCUCACCGCAAUCGCCGUCAAUCGACGACACUGGGAACCUGCUCACCAACAAUAACCUAUCAACCCACGGAGCCAAUCCGAGCAUACAGCCUAGGCCAGUGGGAAAUCAAGUCGAAAAUCUUACCUAUCGACCCGAUCUGAUAGGAACUCGAAGCCUCCCGUCAUCCUGCCCGCUGACUUCAUUUGCUGGAAUUUUUCCUGGGCGUCGUCUCUGUUCGAGUCCACGCAGGAGGGCGGGGACAGCGGUGCCUACAACCCCAUCCUCGCAAGCGGACGGCCGGCACCGUUGCCUGUUGACUGUUCGGAGUUCGCCGCCGACAAUCUGAUGUUCCCGCAAACGCCGUUCAGGUCUACUCGGAGCCUGGCCGUCGGUCGCCCAACUCACCAAUGUUGAACUGGCCUACUGCAUCUAGCAGACCUAGAGCGGGCUGUGCCGGUGGCGCGUAGUCACCACCUGCUAACGCCCGCACAGGGAACCUAGCCAACGGGAGAACGCUCCCUGAGAUUCAUGAUCCACCGUCAAUGGAAAUCAAACGAGGGCAAUAAGCAUACCGAUCGACUGGAUCUGCUAAGAACUCGAACCCAUCCCCCACCGUCUCCAUCGUCAACCCUCUCAAGCCGCGCACCGAAACCGGAGGAAUAGUUUCUUAGAAUAGCAGGUACCCUUCUCGUUGGAGCCCAGUUGCCGCUUGCCAGUACUAUAUUUCCUUAUUUUUUCCACCUCAAACGCCGUUUGUGAAAGCCGGUAAACGGAGCUCCGGUUAUCCUGUACGGACGGACCAUCAUCACCCAGUUACGUCCUCCGUCCACACGUCAGGCGGACCCAUUCCUGUACAUGCGGCAGUAUUUCUACCAUCCAUAAAUGCAGAUGAAACGUGAGGCUGCACCAUUGGUCCAUAUAACGGGAGUAGGCGAGCUCGUGCGCUCUUUCGCCACUCUCAAAGGAACAACUAUUAUCUUAUACUCAUUAUAUAUUUGAUGGGUACUUAUCCAUCUUGAAACUGCAACUGCAAGAUCCAGUGUCGCCUACACGUGUUUCAAAUUUUUAUACGGUAGGCGGAGAAGCUUUGUGCAUGUGCUGACCACAAAGAUUGUUGUUGUUUGUAGCACGGGCUACUUUAUGCGUUGUCUAAAUUUUUAGUUUGGCUUCUCACACCAUGUUUUGCUUAGCUAAAUCUUUGUGUGUGUUCGUGCUGCAAGCUAUAAUGCAUCAGUGGACGAGUGUGGUUUACAAGGAGAACGAGACAGAUGCGAUCGCUUGGUUUUCUGCUUUCAGGUAAUCAGGUUGCCUGCUACAAAUACAACUACAGGCUCAGGUAUAUAUGUUUGUUUCUUUGUCCACCGUUUAUAGAAUAAAACUUCUUGUGUGCCAGAUCGCCGGGCUUGCUGUUCAUGGUCGUCAUGUUCGUGAACGGCGGGUACGCGACCAACUCGAUAUAGUUCAUGCCGUGGUGGAUGGUCAAGUACAGGGGCUGUCCAAGCACAAUGUUGUGGACAUGGUCGAGGCAGUGUUGUUCUUCUUAGCUUGUCACGGUGGGUAUCUGCCUCGACAAGGAGUAUCGUCCACGAGGUCGUGCCAAGGUCGCCUCUCCAUGGCCGGAGGGGGAGGAAACGGGUGACGACAGCAGUGGCAGUUCUCGGACCACUCGGUCGGACCGGGCGAAACCCUGACAAGACCAGUACCGUUCGGGCGGAAUUAUACAGACCGGACCGGCUAAAUAUACCAGCAGGCUGAGACCGUGCGGUCCUGUUCUGCAUAGAAUUGGUUUCCGGAGGUGUGGCUGGCUCAUCGGGUAGGAAACACAAGCAUAGAAAACCUUUAUACGAAAAUAUUAGAUCAAUUCUACUAAUUUACUAUAUAUCUCAGAUAGCCCAUAUGCGAAAAGGGAACCAUGCAUGAUCGGGAUAUCAUAUUACGGUGUUUCCCGGAUUAUUGAUUUCAUUUGUUUCAAGACAAAAAAUUCAUGCUAUAUUAUUCACAACUCUUUUUUAAAUUAAAUAGUACUCCCACCGUUUCAUAAUGUAAAACGUUUUUUGAGAUUAGUCAAGAAAAAUAACUGAAAGCUGUAAAAUAACAUCUUACAUUAUGGGAUGGAGGGAGUAUUUCUCAUGCAUGCUUUUUUUCGGUUCACAUAGCAUGUAAAAUAACUGAAAGCUGUAAGUAGGUAGUUCAUCCAUCUCCUGCUCCAAUCGCAAGCAUGGACGAAUCUGGCGUCGGUCCCCAGCCAUCCACUUCCCGCAGCAAGUGGAAGCCUCGACUUCAAUGAUGCAAGUCAAUUGUUGGGCGCCGGUAGCCUUCUUCACAUGCCUGCGUAGUCAAGAGCAUCAUCUCCAACGCUAGAGCGCUCACGAGCAUACCAAUCAAUUAUUAUGAUUUCUUUUCCUUCCUUGCAAUUUUUUCACCAUUUUCUUAAAAAUGGAAUGAUGUUAACUGAACUAAUAGUUUUUUGGUGGGGAAUUGAGCUAAUAGUUUUCAAAAAUACAUGAUUAUGGAAGCAAGUAGGAGAGGAUGUCAACAAUUACUACUUGCAUUUUUUUUGUAUGUUUGCAAUUCAACUACUUUUUUGAUUUGUCAUCUUAUAGGUUUGGCAUGCAUGUGGGAUAAUGAAGUGUUACUUUUUUUUUGUUGUACAGUUUGUGAAAUAAUCGGUACGUGCAUGUGGUCAAUCAUUUUAUAAGUUAAAAAAAUCAUUCAGUUACCAAUGUUGUAGGAUGGCAAUGAACUUUUUAUUUAUGAACUACCAAUUUUUCACUUUGUGUUCUAAUGCGUGAUUUUUAUCUAGGCCGGAUCACUUCUCUAAAUAUACCACAAAAAUAUCGGUGACCAAGGAAAGUGAUUGUGCUUGUUUCUUUGACCUUGUACAUUUCACUUGAUCACAUGUCUGAUUCAUCUAGAUUAGCUCCAUAAAGAAGCAUGACAUUGUUUAAAAACAAUUUAUAGAGCAAGGGACAUAGAAUAAUUUUUGUAUCAUGUUGCAACGCACAGGCAAUUUUCCUAGUGUCCUAUUAAAAUUAUACAAUAAUGUUACAGCAGGACAUGAGGGGUUUGAUGUUAUAUGUACUAACCACUCUAAUAAAAAGUUCAGUUAAGUUUUGUGAGGAUGAAGUGUUCGACGAUCGAGGAGGUAUCGAUAUGAGAAGAAUAAGGAGGGGCAAGAGUUCAAGCUUGAGGACGCCCAAGGCACCCCAAGUAAAUAUUCAAGGAGGCCCAAGCGUCUAAGCUUGGGGAUGCCCCAGAAGGCAUCCCAUCUUUCUUCGAGAAUUAUCGGUAUGUUUCGGUUUUUGUUUUGUUCACAUGAUAUGCGUAAAUUAUUGGAGCGUCGUGUGCCUUUUAUUUUUCUUUUAGUAAUGCACCAUGCUGGUAUGAGAUAGUCCUUGGUUAAUUUAUAGAAUGCUCUUUGCACUUCAUUUAUAUCUUUUGAGUAUAGCUUUAUAGAAUGCUUCAUGUGCUUCACUUAUAUCAUUUGAAGUUUGGAUUGUCUGUUUCUCUACAUAGGAAAACCGCCAUUUGUAGAAUGAUCCUUUGCUUCACUUAUAUUUGUUAGUGCAUGGAAAAUCUUUUGUAGAAAGAAUUAAACUCUCAAGGUUCACUUAUAUCUAUUUAGAGAGUCAACAGGAAUUGGUCAUUCACAUGGUUAGUCAUAAAAUCCUACAUAAAACUUGUAGAUCACUGAAUAUGAUAUGUUUGAUUCCUUGCAAUAGUUUUGCAAUAUAGAGAUGGUAAUGUGUGGGAGGUACUAGUGAAUGGUUGUGGUUUAGUAAGAAUAUUGGUGUUAAGGUUUGUGAUCCCCUAAGCAUGCACAUAUAGUCUAUAGUUAUGCGACGAAGUUAUAUCCUACUCAUGCUAGUAUUUUGUGUUAAUUAUUCGCAAUGCAUGAUUAUGACCGUUUUUGCUCUCUGGCUGGUUGCUUCUCAAUCUAUUUGCUAGCUUUUACCUGUACUAAGUAGGAUUACUGCUUAUGCAUCCAUACCCUUAAACCAAAGUUGUUCCAGAUGAGUUCACCAUAUCUACCUAUAUGCGGUAUUACUCAGCCAUUCCAAGUAAAAAUCUGCAUCUGCCACCUCUAAUUAUUCAAAUAAGCAUCCGUUUUGUGUGCCCGUACCGCUCAUGUAGCGGCAGGGGGUGGUCAGUAUCUUCCAUGCUAAGGAGGUUAUUCUCACGAUGGGUGUUUAUUCACUUGUCAUUGCACGAGAGAUGCUGGUAUUUGGGAUGCCUAGUCCUAUGAUCAAUACGAAAAAAUAACAAAACAAACUCCCCCGGCUUGUGUUUGAAUGGUUGAGGGGGACUAAACUUUACCUUUUCGCUUGGGAACCGCCAAUAAUGUGUUUAGCAUGGAAGAUAUUGAGAACUCCCGGUCGUUAUGUUGACAGGAAAAGUACAGCUCCCAAAAUGUAUGCAUACCUAUUUAAAGCUUCGAGCUCUGGCACCUUGGCAAAUCCCUGCUUGCCUCUGUGAAGGGCCUAUCUAUUUACUUUAUGUUAUUUACUUUUAUUGUUGAGUCAUCACCUUCUCAUUCAAGCACCAGUUGGAGAGCACUAUUGUCAUUUUUAUGCAUUGAGUAUAGUUAAUGUUGUGUGCAUCAUGACUGGAUCAAUGACUGAGCAUGACGGGCUAGGGACACAUCAUUCUUUAGCAUUUCUAUUCUGAAAGGCAUGAUUCUUUGUUGGUAUGACUGAGUAUUCAUGUCUUUGUGUCAAAUUAUAGACUAUUGUUUUGAAUCACUCGUAUCUUAAUAUUCAUGCCAUGAUUAGAUUACAUGAUCAAGAUUAUGCUAUGUAGCAUUCAACAUCAACAAUUAUCUUUUUAUCAUUUACCUACUGGAGGACGAGUAGGAUUAAGCUUGGAGAUGCUGAUACGUCUCCAUCGUAUCUUUAAUAUUUGAUUGUUUCAUGCCAAUAUUCUACAACUUUCAUAUACUUUUGGCAACAUUUUAUAUUAUUUUUGGGACUAACAUAUUCAUCCAGUGCCCAGUGCCAGUUCCUGUUUGUUGCGUGUUUUUUGUUUUGCAGAAUAUCCAUAUCAAAUGAAGUCCAAACACGAUAAAAAUUCACGGAGAUUUAUUUUGGAAUAUUUUUGAUUUUUGGGAAAAAAAAUCAACGCGAGACGAUGCCCGAGGGGGGCAUAAGCCCAUGGGGCACGCCCCUACAUAGGGCGCACCUGUCAGGCUUGUGGGUCCCUUGUAAGGCGGUUGGUUCCCUUCUUUCACCGCAAGAAAUAUAAUAUCUGGAAGAAAAUCAUGUUAAAAUUUCGGCCCAAUCAGAGUUACGAAUCUCCAGGAAUUAAGAAACGGUAAAGGGCCAGAAAAUAGGAACGCGGAACAGAAGAAAAUAGAGAGAGAGAGAGAGAUCCAAUCUUGGAGGGGCUCUCACCCCUCCACUGCCAUGGCAGCCAUGGACUAGAGGGGAAACUCUCCUCCCAUCUAGGGGAGAGGCCAAGGAAGAAGAAUAAGGAGUGGGCUCUCUCCCAGUGGCGCCGAAGUGCCACCGGGGCAACCAUCGUGAUGACGAUCUACACCAACAACUUCGUCGCCGUCAUCAUCAAUUCUCUCCCCUUCUAUGCAGCUGCAUAAAACCUCCUCUCCUCGCUGUAAUAUCUACUUAAACAUGGUGCUUAACGCUAUAUAUUAUUAUCCAAUGAUGUAUGGCUAUCAUAUGAUGUUUGAGUAUAUCAGUUUUGUCCUAUGGGUUGAUUGAUGACCGUGAUUGGUUUGAGUUGUAUGUUUUAUUUUGGUGCUGUCCUAUGCAGCGUCCCGUCUCGCGCAAGCGUGACGGGUCCCCGCUCUAGGGUGUUGCAAUACAUUCAUGAUUCUCUUAUGAUGGGUGGAGUGAGUGACUAAAACACAUACCCGAGUAAGGGGGUUGUUGCGUAUGGGAGUAAAGAGGACUUGAUACUUAAUGCUAUGGUUGGUAGUUGUGGAUGCCUGCUAGAGUUCCAAUCAUAAGUGCAUAUGAUCCAAGUACGGAAAGUAUGUUAGCUCAUGCCUCUCCCUCGUAUAAAAUUGCAAUAAUGAUUAUCGGUCUAGUUAUCGAUUGCUUGGGGACAAAAUCCUUCUCUUGUGUUACAAAAAUCUUUCUAGUAAACAACUAACUUUUAUUAUUUUGCAAAAUACUCCUAGUUUUAUUUCUGCUAAGUAAUUCUAGUUUUAUUCUUGCAAACUUGUCCUACACCUACAAAAUAGUUUCAUACUUGUUCUAGGUAAAGCGAACGUUAAGUGUGCGUAGAGUUGUAUCGGUGGUCGAUAGAAUUUGAAGGGAAUAUAAAUCCUACCUUUAGCUCCUCGUUGGGUUUGACACUCUUAUUUAUCGAAAAAGCUACAAUUGAUCCCAUGUACUUGUGGGUUAUCAGUGAUACGACUGGAGAAGGAGGGGGAUUUCGGCAGCCUCUAGGCGUUGUCAGGGCGAGCGUGCGGUUGUUCAAAAGUGGGUGCGCUGGCCGGUGCAGGUCCUAGCGAGGAUGAUGGCACCAUGGACGGUCGCGACCACCUCCUUGGCGCACUUGACGUCGAGCCCGACGUCGCCAUCACUGUCGAUGAUGACGACGAGCGCCUUGGAGCAGGCGCGCCUCUUCUGGAUGGCGCGAUCUUCCUCACCCUGGCUUUUUGUCCCAGUUUUUGAAACAGAAUCAUGCGGCAUAGCGGCGCAGGAGUAGCAAGAAUAUCGUUCAAUAUGCAUGUCUUAGUUUGUAAUAGGUUAAGAGCUGCUGUCAGCAACUCUUUUUAACCCAUUCUAAGCGUGUGCAAGAAACAUCCUUCUCCCCAAGUCUUUAUCUAUGUUUAGGAGAAUCCCACAUUGUUCGGGAGACUACCUGUGAUCAUAAGAACAUACAACGUGGAUAUGUUGGAGCGGAUCCAGAACGCAGCGUGUAGGUUUUGCUUCUCAGGGUGACUUUAUUUACCAGGAGUAGUUCACGGUGUGACACUUCUCGAGGAGCCCCUGUUUCACGGAUGGGCCUUGCAUAGGACAAAAUCGCUUUGUGAAGAAUGACCCGCCGAGUUGAAUCAACGGGGCCUCUGCUCCCAUCCUAGCUUGGCUAAUACACAUGGGGAGGGGCAACAUCCCGUGACUUGGGGAAGCAAGUUCGUGAUGAUCCACAAGUAUAGGAGAUCAAUGGUAGCUCUUUUCUAUAAGUACGAGUGUCGAACCCAACGAGGAGCAGAAGGAAAUGACAACUGGUUUUCAGCAAGGAAAUGUCGGCAAGUACUGAAAUUGUAAGUAGCAGAGUAGUUUGAUAGAAAGAUAAUUUGUAACGAGCAAGUAAUGAUAGUAGCAAUUGAAGUGCAGCAAGGUAGCCCAAUCCUUUUGAGGCAAAGGACAGGCCAAAACGGUCUCUUAUGAUAAGCAAAGCGUUCUUGAGGGUACACGGGAUUUUCAUCUAGUCACUUUCAUCAUGUUGGUUUAAUUCGUGUUCGGUACUUUGGUAAUUUGAUAUGUGGGUGGACCGGUGCUUAGGUGUUGUUCUUACUUGAACAAACCACCUACUUAUGAUUAACCCUCCCGCAAGCAUCCGCAACUACGAGAAAAUUACUAAGAAUAAAUUCUAACCAUAGCAUUAAACUUUUGGAUCCAAUCGGUCCCUUACGGAAUAGCCCACAAACUAGGGUUUAAUCUUCUUUCAUUCUCGCAACCCAUCAUCUAAUUGCUACUCCACAAUUCAUUCCCUUAGGCCCAAAUAUGGUGAAGUGUCAUGUAGUCGAUGUUCACAUGACACCACUAAGGGAAUCACAACAUACAUAAUAUCAAAAUAUCGAACACAUAUCAAGUUCACAUGAUUACUUGCAACAUGAUUUCUCUCGUGACCUCAAGAACAAAGUAACUACUCAGAAAUGAUAAUCAUGCUCAAGAUCAGAGGGGUAUUAAAUAGCAUAUUGGAUAUGAACAUAUAAUCUUCCACCAAAUAAACCAUAUAGUAAUCAACUACAAGAUGUAAUCAACACUACUAGUCACCUACAAGCACCAAUCUAUAGUUCCGGUAACAAGAUUGAACACAGGAGAUGAACUAGGGUUUGAGAUGAGAUGGUGUUGUUGAAGAUGUUGAUGGAGAUUGCCCUCCCCAAGAUGGGAGAGUUGUUGGUGAUGAUGAUGACGAUGAUUUCCCCCUCCGGGGGGGAAGUUCCCCCGGCAGAAUCGCUCCACCAGAGGGCAAAAGUGCUCCUGCCCAAGUUCCGCCUCGAGACGGCGGCGCUCCGUCCAGAAAGUCCUCUCCUUAUUUUUUCUAGGUCAAAAUGACUUAUAUACCAGAAGAUGAGCACUGGAGGUGGGCCUGGGUGAGCACAACCCACCAGGGCGCGCCUGGCUUCCUGGCGCGCCCAGGUGGGUUGUGCCACCUGGUGGGGCCCCUCUAGUAGUUAUUUGCUCCAAUAUUCAUCAUAUAUUUGAUAAAAAAAUCUUCGUGAAGUUCCAGCUUGUUUGGAGUUGUGCAGAAUAGGUGGUCUGAUGUGACUUUUCCAGGUCCAGAUUUCCAGCUACCGGAAUUCUCCCUCUUUGUGUGUACAUUGUAAAUUAUGAGAGAAAAGGCAUUAGAAUUACACCAAAAAGAAUUAUUAUGCAUAAAAAACAUCAUAAAUAACAUUAAGGAAACAUGAUGCAAAAUGGACGUAUCAGUUCGCAUGGGUUGCGUCCCGAGAAUGGGUCCUUCGCGACCAUGUGUGGUGUGUUGCUGAGGCUCCACAUGCGUACUUGGUCAAGUAGGGAAACAAGCACUGGGCGACAGAAGGAACAACAAAAACAACGUAGUAUAGGUACGCCAUGGCACUCCUUCUUAAAUGGGGAGCUCCCGGAUACAUGGCAGUCGAGGUACUUAGCUUUUUAACAUUAGCUAGGAGGAUCUGAGCCUGGCUUGUCGUGGAGCCACAGCUCUCCGGGUGGCCCGCGACUCCCGGGUAGGUGAUGUCUACUACACAACUUGUUCUUGUAGACUCGUGUUGGGCCUCCAAGCACAGAGUUUUGUAGGAUAGUAGCAAUUUUCCCUCAAGUGGAUGACCUAAGGUUUAUCAAUCUAUGGAAGACGUAGGAUGAAGAUGGUCUCUCUCAAACAACCGUGCAACUAAAUAAAGGAAAAAAAAACCUUGUGUCCCCAACACACCAAAUACAAUGGUAAAUUGUAUAGGUGCACUAGUUUGGCGAAGAGAUGGUGAUACAAGUGUAGUAAUGAUAGUAGAUAUUGAUUUUUGUAAUAGGAACAAUAAAAAAAUAGUAAGGUAGCAAGUAACAAAAGUGAUCACAAACAUUAUAGAAAUGCUUGAAAAUGAGGCCUAGGGUCCGUACUUUCACUAGUGCAAUAUCUGAACAAUGGUAAUACAAUUGGAUCAUAUAACCGUCCCUCAACAUGCGAUGAAGAAUCACUCCGAAGUUCCUAUCACUACAAAAAAUACACUUCCGUGAUGAUACGUGUUUGUCAUAGUAGGUCGCUUUUUUGUCAUGCAUGUACAUCCAUGACAAAUUUAUGACAGAAUCAAGAUAGGCAUACCUGUGCUGUCGUAGAAGUGUUCCAUGACAUUACCAAAAUUAUCAUCACGGAAGUGUCCACUUCCAUGACGAUAAAUCGCGCGUCACAGAAGUGCUUUCGUCAAGGGUGACCGACACAUGGCAUCCACCGUAACGGAACGCCGUUAAGCUAUCAGGUCGGGUUUUGGAUCCGAUAACCCAUUAACAACCCCGACCAAUGGGGAUUUUCCACGUGUAAAAUCAUCAUUGGCUAGAGGAAACACGUGUCGGCUCAUCAUUGGGACAGAUGUCAUCCACUCACUGGAUAGAAGGCAACUAUGAUAUGUCGACACGUGGCAUGGCCCAACAAGUUUAAAUGGGCUAGCCCAACUAAAGGCCCACAAGAUUUUGUGGACCAUAAUGGGACGGCCCAGCUAAAGGCCCAUGAGAUUUUGCGGACCAUAAUGGGCUGGCCCAGAUAAAGGCCCACAAGAAUUCACGGGGCAUAAUGGGUCGGCCCAGGUAAAGGCCCACAAGAUUUUCGUGUGCCAUAAUAGCCCGACCCAGGUAAAGGCCCACAAUGACUCUAGCCCAUAAUGAACAGUAAUUUUCUUUAUACUCGUUAACGGCCCGUGAUUUACAUGGGCCGUUUCCAGCCCGUGUUAGCUUUCGGCCUAUUGACGGCCCAUACGUUCUUGGGCUCCUUUUCGGCCCUCGAUUACUUCCGGCCCGUUACUGGCCUGUUCCCCUAAUGGGCCAAAUUCGGCCCAUGGCAAGAGUCGGCCCGUUACUGGCCUGUUCCACUAAUGGGAGAAAUUCGGCCCAUGGCAAGAGUCGGCCCGUUACUGGCCUGUUACCCUAAUGGGCCAAAUUUGGCCCAUGGAAAGAGUCGGCCCGUUUCUGGCCUGUUAACCCGUUGCGCCGUUCCCAGCCCAUCCUAUAUUCUGGCCCAUUAACGACCCGUUAUGCCUGUGAUAGAAUUAAGCCUUUGUUGUCUUAUGGCGUGUUAACGGCCUAUUACCAUGCUGGUCCGAUACCAAUUACGCCCGGUUAUGGCCCAUGUAGACCCAUUUAUUCAAUGGCCCGAGGCCCACCGAUUACAGGCCCAUUUAUCGACGGCCCGUAGGAGACCCAUGGAUCCUACAGCCCGUAUAUGGCUCAUGGUAGUUGCGGCCACUAGCAAACCAGGUAAAAAGAAGACUAGGAAAUAAAUAAGGCCGAAACUAACACAAGGCUAUUAAGGCGAUUGCACAUAUUACAUCCACUCGGCAUCAAAGAUCGCCACCAGUGCAAAUAUAGGGAACACCCUACACUAUACAAAAAUGGCUUGUUGUUUUCUUCAGGCGAUGGCUGCACGUUAAGAAUAAAUUUUGUAUCGCACCAAAACAAAUUACAACUAUAUAACAAAAGGAAGGUUGGCAUAAAACUUAACAUUCUAGCAGAUAAAUGCACCACCAGAAGUUCAGAAGUUUAGUUCAUUUGACCUGACUGUUACGUUUUCAUGUUGUAUUGUCCGAUGGAGCACCAUAACCUCACCUUCAUUUCCCCUAGGCUCCUGAACAACAUAGCAAAUGUCUGAUAGUCUAGUUUCAAAACCAUGCAUAUCUUAACGACAUUGAGCAAUGUUCUUCCUUGUUUCACAAAGGGUCUCUAUUAGGGAAUGGACUUGUGUCUGGAGCGUAGAUACAACAUUGCUUUGAGCUUGCAUAUCUUGAUCAUGAGGCAAUUUGGACGAUAUUGCCUUAACAACCAACCCAGUAUUACGCAGGAACGUGCUUUUGGCACUAUUAGUGGACAGGUACUGACCCACUGCAACAAGAGCUGACAUUGCGGUUAUAGUUGCCUCGCCACCUUCAGAAGGUGGCGGUUCCACCAUUUUUUCCAUAGCUCGCUGAAAAGUUGAGGUUUUACAUUAGUAGUACCAGAACAGAAGAUAUUAAGGAGGCAGCAAAACCAAACAAAAUAGCUUUGGUCUAUAUACAGAACUUAUUCUGGUGAACCCAUGUAAAAUAUUAGUUGUAUUUUAUUGCAAAGUACAUAAUAAAACCAGGUUCCAAACAUAUGACCAUGUACCAUCGCUAAUGUAUUGUCUAUUUCUUCACAUUGUAUUGAGGGCUAAGGAUAAAGAGACAAAGUUUAUAAUACGGUAAGCAUAGUAUGAUGUCAUUCAUAUCACAAAACAACUGAGAACAGACAAACAUGCAAUUGUAACGUUGUGUGGGCAAGUCCAGCAUGGAACUAGAUUAUGGGUCAUGAUCAAAGGAACAUCACUCCUCUCUUUUAAACCUUGUCAGGUGCAAUGAUACGCUAAGACAAUUGUGUAUAAAAUUGAAAUGAGUAAUAGACAUUGGCUGCAAACCAUGCAGUUCAAGGCACAAGUCAGAGUAAGUAGUAGUUAAAAGGCAUGAGGAUUAAGGACUUACAACAGCGGCUUUGACUGGUGUAGUCAUGCCCUUCUUCUUGCUGGUGUGACAGUCCUUGAAGAUUUCCACAACAUUUGGUUCAUGUACUUUUUGAUCCUUGCAGGCUUUCCUCUGCAUUUGGAACAAGUCAAUAUAGAUAUGAUAAUAUGGUACAGCGAAAAGAGUGAAACAACAACUAAUUACAAGAGCCUCGCAGUGUGCAAUAUAGCUACGAGAUCCUGUUGUCUGUUGGAAUUUCACUUUCGUACGGUUGGCCUUGUUCUUUGAACAGUUCACCUACAAGAAGAUAGAUUUGUGUGGCACAUGCGUAAAUAGGACUUCAACAUGUGAUCUGAUGACAUAUAUACAAUGUACCUAAUACUUCGGAUCGGACCAGUGUUUAACGAGGCCUCUCCAGUCUUCAUCAGAUAUAUUUUCCACUGGAGAUGUUUGGGCAAGUUCACUGUUAGCCUUGCCUUCAAAGUGAGUUUUCCUCAAGUUAUACCGAUAUUGUCACAGAGCAGAGUUGAAAACAUGGGUGCAAGCUUGUCUGGUUGCAUCAUCUUGGCUAUCCAACUUGAACCUCAUCUGUUGAAAAUUAUGGGAGUCUCAUUAUCAGCAACCUAGAAAGUAUUGGACAGAGCAAGACGAUAUUACUAGUUUCCAUACAUAACCAUACUUACAGAUAAAUGGUCGAGGAAGAUGUUGAACUUGGUUUCGUCUUUGUCAUUCCUGUACUGAAUCCAUGUUGGGAGGAUACGUACAUGACACCUAACAGCAACCGCUGCCUCUGAUACUAACUUGGCUGACUCUGUAGCAUCACGUGGCCUUUUUAAACCUGCCUCAAAACAGAUCUCCAUUCUUCCUCCUCUAGAUUUAGUUAACCUAUCGAGCAUUAUCCCUGAUGUUUGUUUCCUCUUGCGCCUAGGUGCUAGUCCAACAACAAACAUGGGAAGUGUUAGCGUACAUCAAACUGUGAGACUACUUAUAAAGAAGCAUGCAACUGUAACUUGACUCCAGCAACUACCUUCUUGUUG